GAGACAAGGACGAGUCAGAGGUGAAGUAACACAAUGAUCACUAACUCGGUCUGAGAGGACCUUCGUGGAGGUCGUCUGCAGCUGCAGAGCUCACAGAAGUCCUUUCAUAACAAAAUCUCUUUUUCUACCAAGAGAGGACAGAAAGCCCAGAGAGCGUCUCAAACAGACAACGAAGCCUCGGCAGGUCGUCCUCGCUGAGAGCACUGUGUGUUGUUUCAGGCUUCAAAUACUCGAUUAGUUGAGUCGAGGGUGAAAUGAUUGAUCAGCUAAUUACACAAUCAAAGUCCCAGCAUGGACUAAAACACAAACCAGCUGCUACCUUCUUCUUCUUCUCUGGCUUAUUUCAGUUUUUUUCAGAUAUUUGCAGAUUCGGAUUUUCUAAGAAAACUCACUGACAGCAGAUAAAAAAACAAACUCAGUUUUCCUUCAAUGCAAAAAGUUUUGAUUGUAAAAGAAAAGAUUAAACUUCACAAGCUGCAGGUUGUUUUCUCCCUGAGAUCACUGAUAAUGAGGAACUGACAGAUCUGACCAAACAAAAGAAGCUGCAACAGACUUUGUAUUAAAUACAUUUCAGGUAUUUUCAUUAUUUUCUGGCACAUUUAGCAGGACAUCCAUCCGUGUUUUCCCUUUUUGUCUCCCUCCCAACUGUUUCGUUGCUCAUACCGAGGCUACUAGCUUGUAGGUGGCUCUCAGCCCUACUUUAGCAUUAGCUUCUUUUGAAUGUCCAUGUCAGCUGUGUGAAGGUGAUUCAAGCGCCUCAUCUGGUUUGUUGUUACGGACGUUUCCAUGGCGUUUCCUCCCGUUUAGCGAAUGUUCUCUUUACUGGCAGCGAGGAGCUUCCACGCUAACAGCGUGUUAGCAUGUAGUUGUAAGUGUGUGACUUUUUACCUGCACUGCUGUGUGUGUGCUCAAUAUCAGACGUACGUGAGGCUGACCGAGUGGUGACCAAUCAGGACCGAUUCUGGUCCCAGUGGGUUGAUCGGUGCACUCUUCAAACCCUGCAGACGCUGCGUGGACCAAACUGUCAGGUCACUUCCUGCCAUCUCACAGCGCUCUACUAUCCUCCCCCCAGUAUGAACCUGCUCCUACUUCCUCAGGGACAUUUCUUUCUGUCAGUACUGUGGCGCUUAUGACUAACGACCUUAAUAAGACUGAUAUUCAUGAUUCAGAAAGUCACUGAGUCUGCAUCAAUGAGCCUUUAUUUCUGACAAAGAGGACUCAAACCUCACGCCUGCGUCUCUGGACGCAGUCACGGAGGCGCUGGCUGACAUUUUAGCUGCCUGGUGGCCCAGAAACAACCAGACAGGUGAAUAAAAGGAAAAGCUGGACCCGGUGGGGGGGUCCCACGGUUAUGAAAGACGAGUGGAGGUGUCCCACUGACCUGGACUGAAAUAAAAGGAAGCAGGCAGGAGGUGUCCGAGCUGAUAACCUGACCGAGUGACCCGAUUCACUGAAUCAGAGUUACACAAGCAGCCAGAAGGAACCGAGGAAACCACGAUGAGGAGGCGAUAAGAGGAAAACAGAGAGAGGAGGCAGGAGAAAUCGAAUAAACACUGAAGAAGAAGAAGAAGAGCUGGGGGGUUAAAUUAGCGCUGAGAGGAGAAGAAAAGGAAAGAUGACAGUAAUAAAGGGCACAAGGAAAGAUGGAAGACAGCAAAGAAGGAAAGAUAGAAAGAGAAAUGGAACAAAAAAAAUUAGAAAGACAAAGGGAAAGACAGAUGACGGGGAAAGACUUAAGGAAAGUCAGAAAUAAGGAAAAUGGAAAAUAAGGAAAGAAAAGUUGGACAGGAAGGAAAGAAAGAGAAACGUAAGGCUCAGAGGAAGUGAACAGGAAAAUGUAAAGGAAGGAAAGACGGAGACUGAUGGAUGGAAAUAAGGAGUGAGAGGAGGAGAAAUCUGCAGGAAGGAAAGGUUGUGAGGAAGGAGAGUUAAAAUAGAAAAGACACGUACAAGAUGAAAAAGGAAAGAACAAAAAAGAAAAAAGAAAUAGGAAUAAUUAAAAAAGGAAGUAAAAAGAAUCAUAGAGGAAAAGGAAGGAUAAAAGGAUGGAAAGGAUAAUAUGAGGAAGGAGAGAGGAAACAAGGAUGAGAGUUAGAAAAAAGAGAAAAGAUGAGGAAAAACGAGGAAAUGAGAUCAGGAAGUGCUGUAACGUGUGACCUACUCUUCUUUGUUGGUGUCUUUGUGGAAGUUGAUCAGAUGAUUGUUGAUAACGAGCACAAAGUGACCUCACACACGGUCUUCAUUUCAUAACGCCGCCGCCUCACCGCCGCUCACUGCGGGCGACCAUUAACAGGAAGUAACUGCUGUCCUACCUGCACUGAAGUGGGUCAAGCUGGACCGCUGAGUGUGAGAGUGUGUGUGUGUGUGUGUGUGUGUGUAACCUGGACUAAUGGGCUCUGCUCUCAGCUGGAUCAUUAUGUGACAGACUGAGGUGUCGGGGUCGCAGUCACAGUCUAUUGACACACACACACACACACACAUGCACACACACACAAACAGACACGCACACACACACACACACACACAAACAGACACGCACACACACACACGCACACACACACACACGCACACACACAAACAGACACACACACACACACACACACUCACACACACACACACACACACACUAACCUGUAAACAUAUCACAUAUACUGUGCACACACACGUGAGCUGUCCUGACGGGUCAAACUGAGCCGUGUGUUUGAUUCAGACGUAAACACUAAACUCACAGAGUUCACCAAGUUUAUCUUGCCACUGAACCACCCUGUUCAGGUAAGGACACACACACACACACACUGAUGUAAAUUCACACACACAGUAAUGAAACAUACAGAUGAAGGCUGCUUGUUUCUAUAGCGACCACUUUACCAGCUCACACUGAGCAGAUUGACUCGUUAGGACGGCCACCGCGUCGCUAACGAACAGCAGGCUCUCAAUUAUCAUCAAACACACAGGUUUGUGAUUCAGCUGCCGUUGUGGGGACCCUGAGCACCAUAAUAAUAAUAAUAAUAAUGAUGAUGAUAAUAAUAAUAAUAAUAACAGUAGGAACUUGUUACCUUCACCCCAAAAUCCCUCACCCCUGACCUAAACAUGCCCCUAAAUCCUGAAAUAAAACCUUCAGCCUGCAUAUUUGACAUCAAAACACCUGAACAUGUUUGUUUUUCCACUGUGGAACAGAAAACAUCACAGGUCGUCACAGCCUGUGGAGCUGGCAGCUGGCACAUCUGGAAAAGCUCCAUCAGUGCUGAAAGUCAACACUGAUGAAAGGAUCUGAUUUCAAACCCACACCAGCAGCGAGCGCAUCUCUUACUUCUUACUCUGUGAUCUCCACUCAAAGCUCAUUGGUUCCUGCUUUUAAAGGUCGGAUGAGUGCAGCAGGCGUGACUCACCUGUUUGACCUUGCUGAGCUCCUCCUCCAUCUGAUGGUGGACUCUCUGAGACUCGACCAGCUGCUCCUGCA